rnacentral:rRNA from 1 species
CUACGGGUCGCUCCAGUGGGGAAUAUUGGACAAUGGGGGAAACCCUGAUCCAGCAAUGCCGCGUGUGUGAAGAAGGCCUGCGGGUUGUAAAGCACUUUCGGUUGGGAGGACUGCUUCUAGCACUAAUAUUGUUGGAAGUUGACGUUACCUUCAGAAGAAGCACCGGCUAACUCCGUGACGGCAGCCGCGGUAAUACGGGGGGUGCAAGCGUUAAUCGGAAUUACUGGGCGUAAAGCGCGCGUAGGCGGCUAGAUCAGUCGGGUGUGAAAGCCCCGGGCUUAACCUGGGAACUGCAUCCGAUACUGUCUAGCUUGAGUACAGGAGAGGAGAGUGGAAUUCCACAUGUAGCGGUGAAAUGCGUAGAUAUGUGGAGGAACACCAAUGGCGAAGGCAGCUCUCUGGCCUGAUACUGACGCUGAGGUGCGAAAGCGUGGGGAGCAAACAGGAUUAGAUACCCCCGUAGUC